AUCAACUUGAAGUUCAAAUACUGAGCGUUCAAUGUAUUGCAGAAACAUGGAGUAUUUGAGAGUACGGUAGCCAAGAUAAGUAAAAAACGAUGCAAAUCCCUGUGGUACUGGAUAAGCGAUGCUCUCUGUAGCGUAUCUAUAUCGCUGUAAGAGCAUAAACAGCAACCAUCGUCUAGCUUCAUCUAAUUGGUCUCUGCAAAAAAUAUGAAAAUAUUCUAUGCAAUUAUGAAACAGAGAUCAGCUUACACGAGAUUAAAGCCACGUUCCUGCUCAAUUCUCGGAUCAACACCGGCUGCUCUGCAAAGUAUUUGGCAUAAUAUACGCGAAGAUUCCAAUUGCGCAGCAACGUAUCUUGUGGCCAUGGCAUGAACAUGCAACGGAGUACAAGAACCACGUGUGUGCAUAGUCGACGUGUGCGUGCCGUUCUUUAGAAGAUACAUUGAAAGUUCUCGCAAAUUAACAGAUACAAUGUGCUCUUGUUUCGAAGCAGUGCAACUUUCCGUUUCGUUAAACGGUAAGCCCGAGUCCAACUUGAUAUUCCGAUUGCCCAUAAAGUCUCCAAGCGGCAUUGCAACAAAUCUGUAACAUGUCAUCAUUUAUUGUUUGAACACACUUAUCUAGUUAUUGUAAAAAAACAUUUCUGUAAAAAUUUGGGCUAGUUUUAUGAGCAACAUCAUAAAAGUAAUAAACAUAUAUAAAGUGUUCGAUAAUACAUGGAAGAAAAUUUAAGGAGAAACUCUAGAUAAUAAAAUGAAAAUUUCGAGAAUAACAUUUGCUAUUAAGAACGUUUACUUUUAAUUUUUAAUUAUAAUGUAUAAAUAUUCACGUGCCUUAGGCAUUUUUUACAUAAAUAUUUAAACAUUAUAAUUAAAAAAUAAAGCUUAAAUUGUAAUUUUAUUAAUUUUAAUUUUUAUCUUAUUUUAUCUCUCAUCUAAAAGCAUUCUUCAAAUUUUCUUCCACCUGCCGAAUACUCUGUAUAAAUUACAUACAAA